ACCUCAGGUGAUCUGCCUGCCUAGGCCUCCCAAAGUGCUGGGAUUACAGGCAUGAGCCACCAUGCCCAGCCAAUCAUCAUUCUACUUUCUACUUCCAUGAGUUCAACUUUAUUUGAUUCCAUACAUAAGUGAGAUCACAGGUUACUUUUAUUUUUCAGUAUUAUAAAUAAAACUGAACACUUUUGUGUAUAACACAUUUUUAGAAUUUAGAAUUUUUUCCUCAUUUUUAGAAGUGGUAUUAUUAAUCAAAGUUAUGAAGCUUUUAAAGUUUUUUUGAUAUACAUAUCCAAUUGUUAUUCCAAAGAUUUGUAUGGGCUUAAACCCCCCUGAGUAAUGUGUGACAGUGCCCAUUUCAACAAAUACCUGCCAACAAUUAAAAGUAUUCACCAAUUUUACAUGUAACAAAUGAUAGUACCAUUAAAAACUUAUUAUUAGUGAGAUUGAAUACUUUUAUACACUUGUGAAUUUCCUGUUUGUCGUUUUACCUAUUGGUAUCUUAAUGGGGUAUUGUAAAAUUUUUGAUUUGUAUGAGUUUGUAUGCAAUUUUUUUCCUCUGUUAAAGACAAAAAUCGUUCUUUUAAUAGUUUCUUAGUCAUCUAUUGCAUCAUUAUUAUGUGUUAUUACAACUGGUUGAUGAGAAAGCAAAGCUUGCCAGCAUGGCAGAGAGGAUCAGAGAAGAGAGAUCAUGGAGAUAUUGACUAACAUAUUUUUUCCUGAGUCUGAAAGAAAAACAUUGUUUAUGGGUAAUUCUAUGACAGACCACAUGUGGGCUGUAACCACAUCAGUAUUCACCUUAAGAGUUACUUUGUCACUCAAUACCUUCUGUAAGAGUCCUGCUUCUAUUGUACUAGUGGAAGAGUUAAUACUCAGUAAAUUAAAGAUUAUUGGUAACAGUUUCACUCAUCUUACCAUUAACAUGUGAAACCACCUCCAGGAAAUGUUUCAGGUACAGAGUGACAGCCAUUGUUUCCUUAUUGUUCUUGUGGAAACUAAAACAAUGAGAAUUUAAUAACUUUGAAUAAUAGAAUUUUAGAGCUGGUAAAGCCUUAGAAAAUGCUAAUUCUCAAUGUUUUUGUUUUACAGUUAAGGAAACUGCAGACCUAGAAAGUUAUGUGACUUGCCCUAUGUCACACAGUCAAGAAACAGAAGAAACAGAACAUUACCAGGAACCCAGAAGCCUCCCUUCUGCCCACCAUCGUGACUCCUUUCCUCCUUCUCACAGCUAAACACUGUCUUGACUUCUAACCCCAUCGUUAAGCUGUUUUGAGAUUUAUAUAAAUAGAAUCACACAGUAUGUAUUCUUCUGUUUUUUGGCUUUCUUUCUGUGUAGUAAUUGCUUAUGCAUGCUCAUUGUUAUAUUCCAUAGAAUAUAAAGUAUAUAUGAAUGUACCACAAUUUAUUUGUUAGUUCUGGUGUUAGUGGACAUUUGAAUUAUUUCUAGUUUGAGGCUAUGCCAAAUACAAAGCUGCCGUGAACAUUCUGUUCUUUUGGCAAAAAUAUAUACACCUUUAUCUGUUAGACUGAUAAUAUCUAGAAGUGAAAUUGCUGGGUUUUAGGGUAUGCUUGUGUUCAAAUUGAGUAGAUACUGUCAAAUGGCUUCCAAGACUAUUCACAAUUUAACCUCCCACCAAGCUGUUUGGGAACUUCCACCGUGCCGCAUCCUAACCAGUAGUAAGCAUUCAAAUUCUCUUUACCUUGAGCCAUUCUGUAAGUGUGUGGUGGCAUCUUGUGUGUUUAAUUUGCUUUUUUUUUUUUUUUUUAAAUGAGAGAGGGUCUCCUGUUGCUUAGGCUGGAGUGGAGUGACACGAUCUCGGCUCACUACAGCUUUGACUUCCUGGGCUCAGGUGAUUCUCCCACCCAAGUUCCCUAGUAGCUGAGACUACAGGUGCACGCUACCGUGCCUAGCUAGCUUUUUGUAGACACAGUUUUGCCAUGUUGCCAGGCUGGUCUCAAACUCCUGGGCUCAAAUGAUCCUCCUGCCUCAGCCUCCCAAAAUGCUGGGAUUACAGGCGUGAGCCACUGCACCUGGCCAAUUUGCAUUUAUUCUGAUUACUAAUAAAAUUGAUUACUUGUAUAUGUUAUUGGAUAUCAUUUGGGUAUCCUCUAGUGAAAAAUUUGUUCAGCUUUCUUACACAUUUUUCUGUUGGGUUAUAUUUUUAAAUGUUGGUUUCUAGGAGUAAUGUUAAUGUAUUUUGGGUAUGUGCCUUUGUCAAGUAUGUGUUGCAAAUAUCUUCUCCCACUUUGAUUUUCACUCUCUUUAAUAGUUUUUUGUUGAAGUGUAUAGUCUUUCUGAACAGAAAUUCUUAAUUUUAAUAGAGUCCAAUUUUUCAAUUUGUUUCUUCAUAAUUGGAUUUUCAUGCAUGAAGUAUUGAAGUUAUUCUCCUGUGUUUACAUAUGUUUCAUAUUUAUAUUGAUAAUAAACUUGGAAUGAAUUUUGUUUGUGGUAUGAGGUAGGCAUUAUGCCUGUAAUUUUAUAUUUGCCUAUCUAGAUUCAUUUUUUUCAUUCUUCAUCCUGUUCUGUGCUCGAGGAAGCAGACCUGUCAUUUAUAGGUAAGUGCGACUGAUGUAGCUGAGGUGUAGGAAUUUCUUUGUGUGAUAGUGCUCAGGAAUUAAAGCCUACUGUGCUAGUCCUGCUUCUAGAUUCAUGACAGUUAUUGCUGACAGCCCUCUAGGAAGUCUCUUCAGAAAUUUCCCUAUCAUAAUUUGUUGUUGUUUUUCUUUCUUUGCUCAUGCUGUUACUGUAAGAAUGCCAAAUAUGGUAGAGUUUUGGUGCAUACUUGGUAGUGAAUAGUUACUUUUCUAUGAAUGAAAUAUAGGAAAAUUCUGUAUGUUCCUCUUAUUCCUUUGGAGAUAUUUCAAGAAGAAAUAUUUGACUAU